rnacentral:tRNA from 1 species
GGGUGUGUGGCACAACGGAUAUCGCGUCUGACUACAGAUCAGAAGAUUCCAGGUUCAAAACUUGGCACGCUCG